ACUCCUACGGGAGGCAGCAGUAGGGAAUUUUCCACAAUGGACGAAAGUCUGAUGGAGCAACGCCGCGUGCAGGAUGACGGCCUUCGGGUUGUAAACUGCUUUUAUGAGUGACGAAUUUGACGGUAACUCAAGAAUAAGGGACGGCUAACUACGUGCCAGCAGCCGCGGUCAUACGUAGGUCCCAAGCGUUAUCCGGAAUUACUGGGCGUAAAGAGUUGCGUAGGUGGUUCAUUAAGCAGAGCGUGAAAGCGUACGGCUCAACCGUAUACACAUGUUCUGAACUGGUGAACUAGAGAAUGAGAGAGGUUACUGGAAUUUCUAGUGUAGGAGUGAAAUCCGUAGAUAUUAGAAGGAACACCGAUGGCGUAGGCAGGUAACUGGCUCAUUUCUGACACUAAGGCACGAAAGCGUGGGGAGCGAACGGGAUUAGAUACCCUGGUAGCUACG
rnacentral:rRNA from 1 species